UGAGGAACAUGACCUUCGGCGGGGGAUAGCCGGCCCAACGGCCGGGUAAUACCGCGUACGACCACUUUGGGACAUCCCUCGGUGGUGAAAGCAGCAAUGCGCCGAUGGAGUGCCUCGCGGCCUAUCAGCUAGUUGGUGAGGUAAUGGCUCACCAAGGCGACGACGGGUAGCCGGCCUGAGAGGGUGACCGGCCACACUGGGACUGAGACACGGCCCAGACUCCGUACGGGAGCAG
rnacentral:rRNA from 1 species